rnacentral:rRNA from 1 species
GUCGAGCGGUGACAGGGGUAGCUUGCUACCCGCUGACGAGCGGCGGACGGGUGAGUAAUGCAUAGGAAACUGCCCAGUAGUGGGGGAUAGCCCGGGGAAACCCGGAUUGAUACCGCAUACGCCCUACGGGGGAAAGCAGGGGAUCUUCGGACCUUGCGCUAUUGGAUGUGCCUAUGUCGGAUUAGCUAGUUGGUGGGGUAAAGGCCUACCAAGGCGACGAUCCGUAGCUGGUCUGAGAGGAUGAUCAGCCACAUCGGGACUGAGACAUGGCCCGAACUCCUACGGGAGGCAGCAGUGGGGAAUAUUGGACAAUGGGGGCAACCCUGAUCCAGCCAUGCCGCGUGUGUGAAGAAGGCUUUCGGGUUGUAAAGCACUUUCAGUGAGGAGGAAAACCUCAAGUUUAAUACGCUUGAGGCUUGACGUUACUCACAGAAGAAGCACCGGCUAACUCCGUGCCAGCAGCCGUGGUAAUACGGAGGGUGCAAGCGUUAAUCGGAAUUACUGGGCGUAAAGCGCGCGUAGGUGGUUUGAUAAGCGAGAUGUGAAAGCCCCGGGCUUAACCUGGGAACGGCAUUUCGAACUGUCAGGCUAGAGUAUGGUAGAGGGUAGUGGAAUUUCCUGUGUAGCGGUGAAAUGCGUAGAUAUAGGAAGGAACACCAGUGGCGAAGGCGGCUACCUGGACCAAUACUGACACUGAGGUGCGAAAGCGUGGGGAGCAAACAGGAUUGGAUACCCUGGUAGCCCACGCUGUAAACGAUGUCUACUAGCCGUUGGGGAUCUUGAAUCCUUAGUGGCGCAGCUAACGCACUAAGUAGACCGCCUGGGGAGUACGGCCGCAAGGUUAAAACUCAAAUGAAUUGACGGGGGCCCGCACAAGCGGUGGAGCAUGUGGUUUAAUUCGACGCAACGCGAAGAACCUUACCUGGCCUUGACAUGCAGAGAACUUUCCAGAGAUGGAUUGGUGCCUUCGGGAACUCUGACACAGUGCUGCAUGGCCGUCGUCAGCUCGUGUCGUGAGAUGUUGGGUAAGUCCCGUAACGAGC